ensembl:miRNA Mir5118 microRNA 5118
CUUAGGAGGCAGAGGCUGGCUGAUCUCUGCUUGAGUUCGAAGGUUAGGCCAGCCUGGUCUCCAAAGA